rnacentral:lncRNA from 1 species
ACCUGAAAGUUUAUAGCAAAUUUAUUCAAAUUCACCAAAACUAGAAAUAUCUUACAAAUUCAUCAGUUAGUGAAUGGAUAAUAAAACUGUGGUACAUCCACACAAUGAAGUACUACUCAGUGAUAAAAAGGAGUGAAAGAAGCCAGACCAAAAGGGCUACGUAUUGCAUGAUUCCACUUAUAUGACUUCUGGAAAAGGCAAAACCAUAGAGAUGAAGAACAAAUUGAUCAUUUCCAGAGAUUGAGUAUGGGGCAAAGGGUUGAAUACAAAAAGAGCCACCAAGAGAAAUUAUUAAAGUGACAGAACUUCUGUGUAUGGUACUAGUGUAGAAGAUACAUGACUGUGCAUUUGUCAAAACCCAUAGAACCAUACACUAAAAAGAAUGAAUUUUACUGUGUGUAAAUUACAAAUACAAAUUUUAAAGAAAUAAAGGUAUAUUUUUACCUAUUAAAUUAGCAGAGAUUUACAAAAAUAGAAAGGCCAUGUUUUGAUGAAUGUAUGGAGGGAUAUUCACAUUUAUACACUACUGGUGGGAAUGUAAUUUGCACAACUGUAUUGAGGAAAACUCAACACCACCUGUCAGAUGCUCUACUAAAUGCUCUCAUCAUCCAAACCAAAUAAUUUUAAUUCUGGAACCUUAUUCUAAAGAAAUAAUUACAGAUGUGCAUAAAGGUUAAUGUACAAUGAUGUUCUUCAUUACAUUUAAAUUUUAUAAGCAAACUUGAUAAUAAUCAAAAUGUCCAAUAACAUGAUAUCAUCUAAAUAAACUUUGUUAAAUCCAUAAGACAUUAUGUAGCACUUAAUAUUGUAUUUUUCAAAGAAUGAUAACAUGGAAAUACACUUGUGAAUUUUCAAAUGAAAAAAUUAAAUAAAAUGGUAUAUACAAUAUGAUGUCAAUUUUGUUAUAAAACUGUGUUAUAUACAUAAUUUUUUAAAAGACUGAAAGGACAUACACCUGAAUAUUACAAAUUAUUGUUUUCUGGCUUAUAAAAUUAUACAUAUUAUUUAGUUUUUAAUUCAUACUUUGCACUUUAUUUUUUAACAAUGAUCACCUGUUACUUUUAUCAUGAAGGAAAACAUUUUUUUUUACUUUUAAAAAACAAGCCCAGCCCAAUCUAGCCAAGCCCAUGAUCUUUUCAGUUGCUAUCUUCACUCAAAAUGCCACACUGUUGUCCACUGGGUGCUUAUUGUCCUCUUGCUCCUUUAGGUACUGCACUCACUGGUGAUAAACAUCUGCCAAAAUGAGAGUGCAGGUGGCAGCAUCCCUCCAAGCACAUUAAAUCUUUCAGUUAAACUGGCCUAGUAAGCCAUAGGCUGAUACUGGGAUCAAUCUCCAUGACCUAUAUAGGGAACCAAUGUUUUGAAAAGCUAUAAUGCCCACCUUAUGUAAUUGGGAGUUUCCCCUCUUCUAAAUCUCUUCUAUGAAAUAGUAUUUUGCAACCCUUCUCCAAAGCAACUCUAGAUAUUCCAUCAUGCCCUGGGGAAUGACAAAUAGUAGGUCCAAGGAUAGACUUUCCAUUGUACUAUUUCCUGAUGCCAGAUGUGGUGUCUGGGGAUGCCUGGAGCCAUUCUGUCCACUGUCCCUGUCUCAUCUCACCUAUCCAGUUUUUUAAGCUGGCUAUUUAGUACUACUUGUACUAUCUCCUGUGUACUUGAUCCCUUUAGGGGGAGUCACAGACCCCUUGUCACAGAAUCAAAGAAUUCCUCUAAGUUACAAAUCUUGUUUUGGGUUGUUUCUAAAUUGGGUCAAGAGAAACCGCCACAAGGGCAGCUUGACAUGAGAAUAGUGGCUGGCAAUGACUCUCACAGUAGCAACAGAGGUAUUGCAGUGCAACACCUUCUCUCUAAUCCACAUUAAAAAGGUAUGGAUUUAUGAAGUAAGUCUCACUGCCUGCUUCAAAGGAUUACUUCAAAUCCACUGAAGUAACAGAUUUAUGGCAUCUCUCAUUUUCUCCCUUCCUUCCCUCCCUCCAUUCCUAAGGGCAGUAAGUUCCCUCCUAUCUUCAUUUACAAACAUCAGAGAUCUCAGGUUUGCCUCAUUCGUGUAAGCUUCUAAGUCCAAUCUCCACUAAAUUAUGUCAAGCAUCUGUAACUCCAUUGUGGAAUUUCAUAGCCUCCUUCUCUUUCCUCUCUAUUUUUAAAAUCUUUAAAAAUACUUAUUUCAGUAAUUUUGGGGGUACAAGUGGUUUUUGGUUGCAAGGAUGAAUUGUAUAGUGGUGAAGUCUGAGAUUUUAGUGUACCCAUGGUACUGGUAUAAAAGUAGACACAUAGACCAAUGGAACAGAAUAGAGAACCCAGAAAUACAGCCAACUACUUAUAACCAACUGAUCGUUAACAAAGCACACAAAAAUAUAAACUGGGGAAACGACAUCCUACUUAAUAAAUGGUGCUGGGAAAAGUAGAUAGCCCACAUGUAGAAGAAUGAAACUGAAUCCAUCUCUCUUACCUUACAUAAAAAUCAACUCAAGAUAGAAUAAUGACUUAAAUCUGAGACCUGAAAUCAUAACAUUCCUACAGUAUAACCAUGAAAAACUUUUCUGGACACUGGCCUAGGCAAAUAAUUCACGACUAAGACCCCAAAAGCAAAUGCAUCUGCCUCUCUUUUUAUAUCCAAGGGCAACAUGAAUGUAACUCGCAACACUCUCUAAGGUUUCAUUCACUCAUUCACAAUAAAACUUCCAGAUGGGGGCUUGUUGGAGACAAAUGUCUUAGGAUGACAGAAAGCAAAAAAGACCUACUGAAACUCAUCAAGGUGGGGAAAGAAAUGGAAGAAGGUCAGUGAGAGCAAGAAAUUCCCUAGGAUGACUCCAGAAAAGAAAAAUGAGGCAAGAGCCAGGAUAAGGUGACAGAAGGUGUGAGCAAAGGUCUCCUGAGGAUUCAUUAGGAAUGUAUUUGAUUCAGGCACGGUGGCUAACGCCUGUAAUCCCAGCACUUUGAGAGGCCAAGGCAGGCAGAUCACUUGAGGUCAGAAGUUCGAGACCAGCCUGGCCAACAUGGUGAAACCCCAUCUCUACUAAAAAUACAAAAAUUAGCUGGGUGUGGUGGCAUGUGCUUGUAGUCCCAGCUAUUCGAAAGGCUGAGGCAGUAGAAUCGCUUUAACUCAGGAGGCAGAGGUUGCAGUGAGCCAAGAUGCCAAGAUGGCGCAACUUGGAGUCCAAGUUGCGCCAGCUUGGGCGACAGAGCACUCCAGUUUGGGCGACAGAGAAAGACUCCAUCUCCCCCCUGAAAAAAGGAAGGUAUUUGUUUUUUGUUUUUUUUUUUUUUUGAGACGGAGUCUCGCUCUGUCGCCCAGGCUGGAGUGCAGUGGCCGGAUCUCAGCUCACUGCAAGCUCCGCCUCCCGGGUUCGGGCCAUUCCCCUGUCUCAGCCUCCUGAGUAGCUGGGACUACAGGCGCCCGGCUAGUUUUUUUUUUUUUGUAUUUUUUAGUAGAGACGGGGUUUCACCGUGUUAGCCAGGAUGGUCUCGAUCUCCUGACCUAGUGAUCCGCCCGUCUCGGCCUCCCAAAGUGCUGGGAUUACAGGCUUGAGCCACCGCGCCCGGCCAGGAAGGUAUUUGAAAUGCACAAGAAUUUCCACUUUCCCUAUACACUAUCCUGCCCAUCCUCAAGAGAGACAAAAACUAACCAGGACUCCUGAUACUGUUUUUGUUCAUAUCUGUAUAUCCUAAAACAAGGACAUGUCUGAUGACCAAAUCAAAAGGGGGACCUGGGAUGGGGAAAGCCCUCCUACUGGUAUUUAAUGACCAGUUGAGACAUCAGGCACAAAUCCUGGAGCUGGAGUUCGCAGAGUUGCUGGCCUUGGCUACAUCUCCAAUGGCUGACAUGAGAUCAGGUAAGGCAUGGGCAUCAGAGUAAUCGAUUUAAGUAUUUUUCAACUCCCGCCAUAACUAUGACAAAUUCAACCUCAACCUUAGCAUUCAUGCCUCUCUGGGUCUUAAGUGAUAGGAAGAAAGUGCAAAUGAAAGAGGGUGACUCCCAAAGGCAUAUACGUGGGAAAGAAAAGUACCAGUGGAAGGAGAAAGUUAUGGCAUUUGUUUGAUCUCAUCAGUGAUAUGUCUUACUUAUAAGGCUUAAGGAAAAAGUAAACAAAUAUAAGCACAAGGAUUGGGGUUACUUUCAAAUCAGCUGACUACUCUCCUUCUAUGAAGCUGGGUCAUUUAUUGCUGAAAUCCAAACCCAUCUCUGGUGGCCUAUAUUCCAGCAGUGGGGGGUCCACAACAUUACUGAAGGCCUAACAGAGCAAGUACUCUAUCAUGUUUCAAGAAUUUUUUUUUCCGUAAACAUGGGAAGCUGUAUGGAAAGUAACUGUUUAUAUAUACAUAUCCGUGAGUAUAAUAACUUCUGAAAUGUGACAAGAGAAAAGAGAAAUCUAAGCAUGCAUUUGAAAAUAGCAACCUGUGGUCUGGAGAGGAUCUUAAUAGUGAUGCCUUUGUUGAAUGAUGCUUUGUGAAGCUGAGAUGAAGAGAGGUUGUAGUCGUCCCCUGCUACUUCUUUCCUUUUCUUCUCCCUCACAUGAAGUCUUCUACCAGCUCCUCCUCAGGAAUAAAUAUAAAGCAGCCCCUACAAGAGGGGAUGGGUUGUCUGAGGGCCUGAUCACUUUAACACAGUGGUUCUUAAACUUCUUUUGGAAUAUUGAGUCAUUUGGAGAAUAUAAAAGACAUGAAUCCUCUCCCCAGUAAAAUGUACUCAAAAGAAAAAUGUCUGCAUGCCAUGUCAGAGGUUUUAUAGACUUUUUUCUCCUAAGCUUUACCUUCCAAGUCCUUCAGGCCAUCUCUCUGCCUCAAUUGCAGCCGUCUUCCAUAAUAGCACAGGGAAAUUCUACAAUACGGACCACUAAACUGGAUGUAUUCUGACCCCACAAUGGCUUUUACAAAGUAGUUGUUACUCACCUAUUGAUGUGAACUUUCUUUUGUUCUACCCUUUAUCCUAAAAAGCUGAAUUCAUAGGAUUGUGUCUUGCUCUGGUUAAUCAAUGUGUGUAUUAUGACUGGCUUUUUGUUGUUGUUGUUGCUUUUUAAGAGCAGCACUAGCUCACUUUUCAACUCAGAGGCUCUGAAGCCAAAGUACAUUAUGGAACAUGGCCAACAAAUGCUUGUAACAUGUAACUAACUUAGGUCAAGAUCAAGGAAAAAUUUAGAUACUAAAUAAAUCUUUUUAUGCUACUUCAAGCUGACUAGCCUGCAGCCCUUUGAAAGAGUUAGGAGACGGCCACAAGAUUCCAGCAGUGCUAAGGGCUAACAGCUCCCCUAGCUGUUCUCACCAGGAAUUGUUGCUCAUUCUCGCACUCCUGAAGUGUGACAGACCCAAAAAAGGUGAAUAGAUAGUAUACAGCGAGGUAUCAGGCAUACAGCAAAUACUCAAUAAAAGAAGGAAUCACCUGGAUCUCUUCUAAGGCUCAUCUACUAUCCCACUACAGCCUUUCUUCUCUAGUAUUUGCACAGUUAUCAUGUGCCAACCUCCAAGUCAUUCCUCACAGUCACUGAAGCCUUUUGUACCUGGCCCAGUGUUCAUUCUAAGCCUAGCUUCUACUGUAAUCCUGGGUUACAAUAAUAGUCAUGUAAAUUAUCAUCUGACAUCCUAGCUUCACAGGUAUCUUAACCACUCCC